rnacentral:rRNA from 1 species
GAUGAACGCUGGCGGCGUGCCUAAUACAUGCAAGUCGAGCGAACGGACGAGAAGCUUGCUUCUCUGAUGUUAGCGGCGGACGGGUGAGUAACACGUGGAUAACCUACCUAUAAGACUGGGAUAACUUCGGGAAACCGGAGCUAAUACCGGAUAAUAUUUUGAACCGCAUGAUUCAAAAGUGAAAGACGGUCUUGCUGUCACUUAUAGAUGGAUCCGCGCUGCAUUAGCUAGUUGGUAAGGUAACGGCUUACCAAGGCAACGAUGCAUAGCCGACCUGAGAGGGUGAUCGGCCACACUGGAACUGAGACACGGUCCAGACUCCUACGGGAGGCAGCAGUAGGGAAUCUUCCGCAAUGGGCGAAAGCCUGACGGAGCAACGCCGCGUGAGUGAUGAAGGUCUUCGGAUCGUAAAACGCUGUUAUUAGGGAAGAACAUAUGUGUAAGUAACUGUGCACAUCUUGACGGUACCUAAUCAGAAAGCCACGGCUAACUACGU